rnacentral:tRNA from 1 species
GAGGGUACAGCUCAGUGGUAGAGUGUGUGUUUAGCAUGCCAAGAUCCUGGGUUCAAUCCCCCAGUACCUCCA